AUUGACGGGGGCCCGCACAAGCGGUGGAGCAUGUGGUUUAAUUCGAUGCAACGCGAAGAACCUUGCCUGGUCUUGACAUCCACGGAAGUUUUCAGAGAUGAGAAUGUGCCUUCGGGAACCGUGAGACAGGUGCUGCAUGGCUGUCGUCAGCUCGUGUUGUGAAAUGUUGGGUUAAGUCCCGCAACGAGCGCAACCCUUAUCCUUUGUUGCCAGCGGUCCGGCCGGGAACUCAAAGGAGACUGCCAGUGAUAAACUGGAGGAAGGUGGGGAUGACGUCAAGUCAUCAUGGCCCUUACGACCAGGGCUACACACGUGCUACAAUGGCGCAUACAAAGAGAAGCGACCUCGCGAGAGCAAGCGGACCUCAUAAAGUGCGUCAUAGUCCGGAUUGGAGUCUGCAACUCGACUCCAUGAAGUCGGAAUCGCUAGUAAUCGUGGAUCAGAAUGCCACGGUGAAUACGUUCCCGGGCCUUGUACACACCGCCCGUCACACCAUGGGAGUGGGUUGCAAAAGAAGUAGGUAGCUUAACCUUCGGGAGGGCGCUUACCACUUUGUGAUU
rnacentral:rRNA from 1 species